rnacentral:rRNA from 1 species
UACGUAGGUGGCAAGCGUUGUCCGGAUUUAUUGGGUUUAAAGGGUGCGUAGGCGGCUUUGUAAGUCAGUGGUGAAAUAUGGCAGCUCAACUGUCAAGGUGCCAUUGAUACUGCAGAGCUUGAGUACAGAUGAGGUAGGCGGAAUUGACGGUGUAGCGGUGAAAUGCUUAGAUAUCGUCAAGAACACCGGUGGCGAAGGCGGCUCUCUGGACCGAUACUGACGCUGAGGAGCGAAAGCCAGGGGAGCAAACGGG